rnacentral:rRNA from 1 species
UACAGAGGGUGCGAGCGUUAAUCGGAAUUACUGGGCGUAAAGCGUGCGUAGACGGUCGCGUAAGUCAGAUGUGAAAGCCCCGGGCUCAACCUGGGAAUUGCAUUUGAGACUGCUCUGCUCGGGUGCGGAAGAGGGAAGCGGAAUUUCCGGUGUAGCGGUGAAAUGCGUAGAUAUCGGAAGGAACACCAGUGGCGAAAGCGGCUUCCUGGUCCGACACCGACGUUCAGGCACGAAAGCGUGGGGAGCAAACAGG